rnacentral:misc_RNA from 1 species
GAGCUUAUGAAAAAUCCAUCCACCUCCAAGCUCAAUUUCCAUCAGCUUUACAAUCUCCUGUACCUGCCAAAAUGAAUAAUAUAAGAAUUAAGACAUAGACCGUACAGGUUUCUGAACUGAAAAAUCCAGGUAUCAGGUACGUAGAAAUUAAUUCGCUUCAGCUUCACUGCAAACCCAAUUCAUAAACCUGAAAGACCAAGCGCAAACCUUUUUUCUCUGAGCAGGCGGGUCAUCAUUUAACACCAAAACAAUGCUUCCCCCAUGAGAACAAGGCAUAUGAACUACCCUUUCCUUCCGGCAACACUUGUAUUGAACUCCAAAAGUGUAAUUCCUGUGAAAGGUUUUAUGGUUCUUCUCAUCCCCUUCUUCCCCAGGAGCAUAUUUAAACCCACAUGUGGAACAUGUACGGAGAUUGAAAUCAGAUUGACCCAAGUC